AUGGGCAUAUCACGUUGAAACACCGGUUCUAAUCCGAUCAUCUAAGUUAAGCAACGUUGGGUUUGGACAGCACCUUGAUGAGUUACCGCUUGGGAAUACCAUCUGCUGUAAGC